rnacentral:rRNA from 1 species
AGAGUUUGAUCCUGGCUCAGAAUCAACGCUGGCGGCGUGCCUCAGACAUGCAAGUCGAACGCGAAAGGCCCUUCGGGGCCGAGUAGAGUGGCGUCCGGGUGAGUAACACGUAGGUAAUCUACCUCUGGGUGGGGAAUAACAGCCGGAAACGGCUGCUAAUACCGCAUAAUGCAGCGGCACCACAUGGUGACAGUUGUUAAAGCGGGGGAUCGUAAGCCUCGCGCCUAGAGAGGAGCCUGCGGCGGAUUAGCUAGUUGGCGGGGUAACGGCCCACCAAGGCAACGAUCCGUAGCCGGCCUGAGAGGGCGGUCGGCCACACUGGCACUGACACACGGGCCAGACUCCUACGGGAGGCAGCAGUCGGGAAUUUUGGGCAAUGGGCGAAAGCCUGACCCAGCAACGCCGCGUGAAGGAUGAAGCUUCUCGGAGUGUAAACUUCAUAAGAAUGGGACGAAUAAGGAGGGGUUAAUACCCCCUUUGAUGACGGUACCAUUUGUAAGCUCCGGCUAACUCCGUGCCAGCAGCCGCGGUAAUACGGGGGGAGCAAGCGUUGUUCGGAUUUACUGGGCGUAAAGGGCGCGUAGGCGGCGCAACAAGUCAGCUGUGAAAUCUCCGGGCUUAACCCGGAGCGGCCAGCUGAUACUGUCGUGCUAGAGUGCGGAAGGGGCUACUGGAAUUCUCGGUGUAGCGGUGAAAUGCGUAGAUAUCGAGAGGAACACCUGUGGCGAAGGCGGGUAGCUGGGCCGACACUGACGCUGAGGCGCGAAAGCUAGGGGAGCGAACGGGAUUAGAUACCCUUGUAGUCC